CCUCUAGAUGACAAGGAUUUGUUAUUAUCUAUCUUAAAUGGUCUGGAUCAUGACUAUGACACAGUAGUAAGUUUGAUUACUUAUCAAAUGGAUGAGAUCAAUCUAGA